CAAGAGGAGCUUGGAGACAGGUGCUGCAUGGCUGUCGUCAGCUCGUGUCGUGAGAUGUUGGGUUAAGUCCCGCAACGAGCGCAACCCUCGUCUUUAGUUGCCAUCAUUCAGUUGGACACUCUAAAGAGACUGCCGGUGUCAAACCGGAGGAAGGUGGGGAUGACGUCAAGUCCUCAUGGCCUUUAUGACCAGGGCUACACACGUACUACAAUGGCCGGUACAAAGGGCAGCCACUUAGCGAUAAGGAGCCAAUCCCGUAAAGCCGGUCUCAGUCCGGAUUGGAGUCUGCAACUCGACUCCAUGAAGUUGGAAUCGCUAGUAAUCGCAGAUCAGCACGCUGCGGUGAAUACGUUCCCGGGCCUU
rnacentral:rRNA from 1 species